rnacentral:rRNA from 1 species
UACGAAGGGGGCUAGCGUUGCUCGGAAUCACUGGGCGUAAAGGGUGCGUAGGCGGGUCUUUUAAGUCAGGGGUGAAAUCCUGGAGCUCAACUCCAGAACUGCCUUUGAUACUGGAGAGCUUGAGUCCGGAAGAGGUGAGUGGAACUCCGAGUGUAGAGGUGAAAUUCGUAGAUAUUCGGAAGAACACCAGUGGCGAAGGCGGCUCACUGGUCCGGUACUGACGCUGAUGUGCGAAAGCGUGGGGAGCAAACAGG